rnacentral:lncRNA from 1 species
UAAAUUACUAUUAUAAAUCCCAACAAAGACACUUAGUCCAUGUUAUAUAAAUGAUAAAUAGGAAAAUAUUUAUAACAAUGUAUUACAAAUAUGGCAAAAUAAUUGAGAGAAUGCAAGAUUAAAUAUAUAACCCUUUUUGUUUGGAUUCUCGAAGAUGAUAAUGGCUUGAAUCUUGUAUUCCCCAAAUAUUUCUCCACCUUCCUUGAUGUAUUUUCCCUUUGUUACUCUAGAUUCACUCUCAAAAUACCAAGAAAAAGAAAAUAAAAUAAAAGGAAAAACACAAAAAGAAAAGGAAAAAGAAAGAUAAAAGAAAAAUGAAGAAGAAGCCGCCCCAGC